GCCGUCUGUCAGUCGGAUGUGAAAUCCCCGGGCUCCCCUGGGAACUGCAUUCGAAACUGGCAGGCUAGAGUCUUGUAGAGGGGGGUAGAAUUCCAGGUGUAGCGGUGAAAUGCGUAGAGAUCUGGAGGAAUACCGGUGGCGAAGGCUGCCCCCUGGACCAAGACUGACGCUCAGGUGCGAAAGCGUGGGGAGCCAACAGGAUUAGAUACCCUGGUAGUCCACGCCGUACCGAUGUCGACUUGGAGGUUGUUCCCUUGAGAGUGGCUUCCGGAGCUAACGCGUUAAGUCGACCGCCUGGGGAGUACGGCCGCAAGGUUUAAACUCCAAUGAAUUGACGGGGGCCCGCCCAAGCCGUGGAGCAUGUGAUUUAAUUCGAUGCCACGCGAAAACCUUACCUACUCUUGACAUCCGAGAACUUUGCCAGAUGCUUUGGUGCCUUCGGGAACUCUGAGACAGGUGCUGCAUGGCUGUCGUCAGCUCUGUUGUGGAAUGUUGGGUUGAAUCACGCAACAAACGCACCCUUAUCCUUUGUUGCGAGCGGUUCGGACCGGGAACUCAAAGGAGACUGCCGUGAUAGAAAAAGAGAAAAUGGGAAAGAACGUCAAAGUCGUCAAUGCCCCUUACGAGGUAGGGAGCAAAAGUAGCUACAAUGGC
rnacentral:rRNA from 1 species